AUCUUUUUAUAGUUCACAGCAUGAUGACUGGGUUUUUAUGUUCAUGUGUGAGAUGUGCCCCUUCAAACCUUUUUACGAUGUCUGGUGGAUUUUUAAGCUUUUUUCAGCUAUAUGAUC
rnacentral:snoRNA from 2 species